rnacentral:siRNA from 1 species
AGACAUCCGACCUCGACGAGUGCA